rnacentral:rRNA from 1 species
AGCAGUAGCCACGGUAAUACGUAGGUGGCAAGCGUCGUCCGGAAUUAUUGGGCGUAAAGGGCUCGCAGGCGGUUUCUUAAGUCUGAUGUGAAAGCCCCCGGCUCAACCGGGGAGGGUCAUUGGAAACUGGGAAACUUGAGUGCAGAAGAGGAGAGUGGAAUUCCACGUGUAGCGGUGAAAUGCGUAGAGAUGUGGAGGAACACCAGUGGCGAGGGCGACUCUCUGGUCUGUAACUGACGCUGAGGAGCGAAAGCGUGGGGAGCGAACAGGAUUAGAUACCCCGGUAGUCCCUGUCUCUUAUAC